ensembl:snRNA U6 U6 spliceosomal RNA
UUGCUCGCUUCGGCAGCACAUAUACUAAAAUUGGAAUGAUACAGAGAAGAGUAGCAUGACCCUUAAACAAGGAUGACAUGCAAAUUCGUGAAGCAUUCCAUAUUUUU